ACACACACCAACACGGCAAAAAUGUGCCAAUGUGUGCUUGAGAAUGCCACAGAACGUUGUCCUUCCCUGAGUCUCUCAUUCUUAAGUCUUUCCGACCAGUCCCAAGGUGUUCUUCAAGAGCGGAGAGAAGGCCACGGCCCAAUGCUUACUCAGAAACAGAGACCCUGAGGUACCAGACAUGGCGAGAUGGAAAGGAUAUAGGGAUUCCAGACACGUCUCGAGAUCAGGAGACGCUACAAUAUGGACCUAACUCGGAGUUGGACUGCCAUUACACGAACAAACUUUCAAAUCGUACAGCAUCAAGUCCUACCUCCUGUAAUACAGAGUGACCGACAUGCUGGCUUGGGAAACAAGCAUUGCUUCAUCAUUAAGUAAUGUACAACGACUGGGUUUUCGGCCUAUCACAUCUCAUCUGAUUCAGCAGCAGUGAGGUGGAGCUCUAAUCUGAGCGGUGGGACUUCAGCAGGCCAAAUGUGCAACAUCAGCUAAUAAAGUUCAACAUCUGAACCAGCAUCUGUAUCAGAUUUGGGUCAGCUGUGUAGACUAAACAGGUGUCGGUUUUUCUUGCUCCUAUGAUUUCCAGUCUGAGAAAGAUUCGGAAGGUGUCCAGUGUUCUCUGUGAAAGUGAAAUAACUAGUUUCAGAUGUUUAAUGUUGACAUCACAGUUAAAGCAUGAUGUCACUGUGUAGCACCAUUAUUGGAUUGAAGUUCUGCCAAACUUUAAUAUACAUAUAACUGAUAUUUUAUUGUAUAUAGCCAUAGAAAACGCACGUCACUAAAAUGAGCGUCUGUGUGUACUGUGUCCCGUAGAUGUCAUAUGCAAUUGAUCACGUGUUUUUCCUCACAAUGGCUAAUAAAAUCCAUUUGCACAGUGCAUGUUAAUUAUCUUGUAUGUGUUUGAAGCUUUACAAGGCCUAAUUGCUAGUACUUCCAUUACUGAAAAUAAACAUGAUACGCUUUAUGAACAAUGACAUUAAGGGCUGUUUACACACCCACUCUCAUUAACUCUCUACAAGUGUAUCUUUAUGACAUACCCACACUUCUCAAAAAAAAGCAAAGCCUCAAUAACAAAGUGUAG